rnacentral:rRNA from 1 species
UACGUAGGGCGCAAGCGUUGUCCGGAAUUAUUGGGCGUAAAGAGCUCGUAGGCGGUCUGUCGCGUCUGUUGUGAAAACUCGAGGCUCAACCUCGGGCUUGCAGUGGAUACGGGCAGACUAGAGUGCAGAAGGGGCAACUGGAAUUCUCGGUGUAGCGGUGAAAUGCGUAGAUAUCGAGAGGAACACCUGCGGCGAAGGCGGGUUGCUGGGCUGACACUGACGCUGAGGCGCGAAAGCUAGGGGAGCGAACGGG